GCCUUCGUGGUGUAACAGUUAGCGCACUCGGCUCGUAUUCGAGAGGUCCAGGAUCGAGUCCCGGCGAGGGCA
rnacentral:tRNA from 1 species